rnacentral:rRNA from 1 species
UACGAAGGGGGCUAGCGUUGCUCGGAAUUACUGGGCGUAAAGCGCACGUAGGCGGAUUGUUAAGUCGGGGGUGAAAUCCUGGAGCUCAACUCCAGAACUGCCUUCGAUACUGGCGAUCUCGAGUUCGGGAGAGGUGAGUGGAACUGCGAGUGUAGAGGUGAAAUUCGUAGAUAUUCGCAAGAACACCGAUGGCGAAGGCAGCCUCCUGGGCCAGCACUGACGCUCAUGCACGAAAGCGUGGGGAGCAAACAGG